rnacentral:rRNA from 1 species
UACGGAAGGGGCUAGCGUUGUUCGGAAUUACUGGGCGUAAAGCGCGCGUAGGCGGCUUUGUAAGUUAGAGGUGAAAGCCUGGAGCUCAACUCCAGAACUGCCUUUAAGACUGCAUCGCUAGAAUCGUGGAGAGGUGAGUGGAAUUCCGAGUGUAGAGGUGAAAUUCGUAGAUAUUCGGAAGAACACCAGUGGCGAAGGCGACUCACUGGACACGUAUUGACGCUGAGGUGCGAAAGCGUGGGGAGCAAACAGG